CCAGAGGUUCAUAAAACACUUGCUUAUUUACACUCUCCCCUAAGCACUGUUGAUUUGAGGGGCAUAUAAUUUUUUCACAGAGCAGAUCCUCUCUUUUCUCUCCUCUGUGUGACUGGUUGGAUGUGACCGUCCGCUGUCCCAGGGGUAUCUGGAGCAGCCCACCCCCCACUGAGUAGAAUGUCUGAUUCCCUGCUGGAAGGUUGCUUCCCAGUUACGCAGUUAUGGUGAGCCAGCAGCCAAACGCGCGCAAAUGUAAAGAUGGCCAGAAACCACAGGGAUUGCAAAUGAGUUGGCAGCCUGCCUUAACCCCACCUCUUCCCAAAGAGUGGACU
rnacentral:lncRNA from 1 species